AAGGUCCCGAACUAGACAAACCCUCUGGAAUUCCAGAAAGAGAGAACAGAAGCUCCUAGAGGGAGACCGGGUCUUUCAGGGGGUUUCAAGCAGAGGCGGGGUCCGGUCGGCAAGUCGCUACCAAAGCACCGGACCCCACGAAGGGAGGCCAGGGCCAGAACCGCCGCCCCAGGUGCGGUGUUCGGUGGGCUGCCCCCCGGCUGCUCCCGCCCGCCAGCUCCACACUCACAGGGCAGAGGCGGUGCCGGGAAGCCCGGGAGAGACAGCGAGCGAGGCGGGUACAGACGCUCCGCGCGCGAGGAAAGAGUGCUCCAAGAAUUCACAUCUUCGCUCUGUAUCCACAUCUCCCUCACAUAGGCAUGUGCUACAGGAAAAGCUGACCCCAUCGACAGCUCCAGGGGUGAUCCUGAAUUAGUCUAGGCCAUGAAUUUCUAGGGCUUGUUCACCAAGUUUUUUUGCUAAGAUUCAUAUGAAAGUUACUUUGCAACUCUGGAUGUACACCCUAUGGCAAUGAAGGGGACUGGAUGGACCCUGUGCUGAGUGAUGGAAAGAUAACAUCUAUUAUGAAGGCAAUUAAGAACUGACUUGGUUAUGUAUAAAAGCACAUGGAGAGUUUCAUAUAAAAAAGUUACUAAAGGAUUUGUAUCUGCUCUGAAUUUUUCUUUUUUACUUUAAGUGAAUUCACUUUUACUUCUAUUUGGUGAGCUAUUACUCAUGUUUUGCAAAUAGGAAAACUGAAGCCCAGAGAGUUGAAAUGAUUUCCAGAGAAUUCAAGAUGUAUUCCUGAACCAACCAGUCAUAGAAAAAUUCUAGGACUAACAGUUCUUCAAAUAUAUUAAAUAACUUGUAUGGGGAGAGAAUUUUCAUUUAAAAUCAAUCUAAAUUAUGCUAAUGCUUUGGUUUGCUUUAGAUCUGGUGUACUGCAGGAGAGUGGUUAAAAUAACUUAGGGUUUAGGAAUAUGAUCCAGACACAAAUUCAUGGACACAUGGUUCUGGUGCCAACUAGACCUCUGGCCACUAUUUUUCUGUAUAUGACAGUUCUCUUGAGGGUUAUGUUAACUUUUGAGAAUUUUCUGAAUUCUCUUUUCCAAAAUAGAAUUACAUGUGCCUAGAAGUCCUAUGCUAGUACUUCAGGACUUUGAGUAAAAAAUGUUGUCAAUUCUCUCCUCCACUGUCAACCAAGGAGGACUUUGGAGAUCAUGACAUUUAUGAGAAAGUUACCAUGGGUCUCACUCAACAAAUCUUAGUCCCCUAGUAUGAAAUUUACUUUGUAAUUUAAAAAGAAAUUUACUUUGAAAAUUACGUGCUUGUGUAAAAAAAAAAAAAAGGCAAGUAUAUUAAGUCACUAAGAUUAAAAAUAAGUCUUCUCACUAUUCUCCAUCCGACUAACAAGGGUGCAUACAGUUUGGUAUUCAUCCCUUCCAGGUUCUUAAAAACUCCAUAUACAAAUGUGUGUAUACUCAAUUUGUCUGCAAGAAAGAAGUUUAAUCCCAACAUUUUUUUAUGCUAUAAAUGCUUAUAUUAAGAAGAGUUCAAAUAAACAACUUACCAUUACACUACAAGGAACUAGAAAAAGAAACUCUUCCAAAAUUUAGUAGAGGAAAGAAAUAAUAAAGAAAGAUCAGAAAUAAAUAAAAUAGAGACCAGAAUAAAUAAUAACAUAACACUGAGUAUAAUGACCAGUUUUUCCAAAACAAAAAAAUAAACAAUAUUAGCAAUGCUUUGUAUACACUCAAUUUUAAAAUAAAAAUGGAAUCAUACAAGACCUAUUCUUCUUCUUUUUAAAAAAGAUUUCUUUAUUUUA